rnacentral:rRNA from 1 species
UACGUAGGGUGCGAGCGUUAAUCGGAAUUACUGGGCGUAAAGCGUGCGCAGGCGGUUUUGUAAGACAGAGGUGAAAUCCCCGGGCUCAACCUGGGAACUGCCUUUGUGACUGCAAGGCUGGAGUGCGGCAGAGGGGGAUGGAAUUCCGCGUGUAGCAGUGAAAUGCGUAGAUAUGCGGAGGAACACCGAUGGCGAAGGCAAUCCCCUGGGCCUGCACUGACGCUCAUGCACGAAAGCGUGGGGAGCAAACAGGAUUAGAUACCCUUGUAGUCCAGUUGGCCGAGUACAGU